rnacentral:tRNA from 2 species
CGGGGCAUGGCGCAGUCUGGUAGCGCACCUGCUUUGGGAGCAGGGUGUCGGGGGUUCAAAUCCCUCUGCCCCGACCA